rnacentral:misc_RNA from 1 species
GAACGCACAUUGCGCCCCUUGGUAUUCCAUGGGGCAUGCCUGUUCGAGCGUCAUCUACACCCUCAAGCUCUGCUUGGUGUUGGGCGUCUGUCCCCGCCUCCGCGCGUGGACUCGCCCCAAAUUCAUUGGCAGCGGUGUCUUUUUGCCCCAGUCUUGCGCAGCACAUUGCGCUUGCAGAACUGCGGCGGCCCGCGAUCCAACAAGCUCCUUUCACCGUCUUUGACCUCGGAUCAGGUAGGGAUACCCGCUGAACUUAAG